AACGAACGCUGGCGGCAGGCUUAACACAUGCAAGUCGAACGGUAACAGGUCUUCGGAUGCUGACGAGUGGCGAACGGGUGAGUAAUACAUCGGAACGUGCCCAAUCGUGGGGGAUAGCUCGGCGAAAGCCGGAUUAAUACCGCAUACGAUCUACGGAUGAAAGCAGGGGAUCGCAAGACCUUGCGCGAAUGGAGCGGCCGAUGGCAGAUUAGGUAGUUGGUGGGGUAAAGGCUCAACAAGCCGACGAUCUGUAGCUGGUCUGAGAGGACGACCAGCCACACUGGGACUGCGACACGGCCCAGACUCCUACGGGAGGCAGAAGUGGGGAAUUUUGGACAAUGGGCGCAAGCCUGAUCCAGCAAUGCCGCGUGCAGGAUGAAGGCCUUCGGGUUGUAAACUGCUUUUGUACGGAACGAAAAGGCUCUGGUUAAUACCUGGGGCUCAUGACGGUACCGUAAGAAUAAGCACCGGCUAACUACGUGCCAGCCGCCGCAGUAAUAC
rnacentral:rRNA from 1 species